rnacentral:rRNA from 1 species
CGGCUGUGCCACCUCGAUCUCUGCUGCCUGACAUCGCUGGCCAUACUUGCUUCCUGGGGCUCUGCCUCCGCAGCCUGCAUCGCCUGAUGUGUAUCGACCUCAUGCUCGGCAUGCCUGCGCCGCUGGUAGCCGGUGACGCGCUCUCCCGCGUCUAUUUCAGUGACGAGCUCUCUCCGCUCUCCGACUCACUAAUGCUGGCUUCGAACAUGUCCAACGUCAACGUGGUGGAACAUAUCAAGGGGAUGCUGCCUAUCAGCCUGCUCUCCUAUGUCAUCACCGCCGAGCUGUUCACCGAGGUGGGCAUGCAGUAUUCGGGUAAUGUCAGCCUGGAGCAGGUCAAUCUGGUGAUGGAGGCUCUCGACAACCAGUUCAAUAUCACCCCGCUGGCCAUAGUCCCCGUGGUGCUGGUGCUGGGUCUGCUGGCCAACCGCAAGCCCGCCUUCCCGGUGAUCAGCUUCGGCGCCCUGCUUGGCCUGAUCUGGGCCAUCGCCUUCCAGAGCAUGGAUCCGGUCAAGGCAAUGCACUCGGCUUAUAGUCCGUUUGCCAUCACCUCCGGCAUCGAUUUUAUCGACAACAUUCUAGGUCGCGGCGGCAUGGAGUCCAUGCUGGGCUCGGUUGCGGUCAUCAUCUUCGGUCUCGGGUUUGGCGGCCUGCUGGAGAAGGUCGGUAUUCUGGAAGUGAUCGCCAGCGCCUUCAAGAAGCGCAUCAACAGCGUCAGCAGCCUGACCAGCCACACCAUCGGCACCGCGUUUCUGGCCAACGUGUUUGGCUCGGCAAUGUAUGUGUCGCUGAUCCUGACCCCCAAGAUCAUGGCCAAGAACUACGACCGACUGGGACUGGCGCGCAAGAACCUCUCUCGCAACGCCGAGUUUGGCGGCACCCUCACCUGCGGCAUGGUGCCCUGGAGCGACAACGGCAUCUUCAUGGCCGGGGUUCUGGGGGUGGCAACCCUCGACUACCUGCCCUACAUGUGGCUGAGCUUCACCUGCAUCAUUGUGACCAUCACCCUCGCCUACAUGGGCAAGGCAGUGAACCGGGUCCCGCUGGUCGCGGCGGCAAGCUCCCGCUAAGCCAUCCUGCAAACAACAAAGGCGCCAUCAAGGCGCCUUUGUUGUUUCAGAAAAAUGCUGUUUGAUGGAGCUAACUGAUCCCCCCAAACAAAAACAGCCCUCGUUGCCAAAAGCGGUUCAUCAAACCGAUACGCCGAUCAAAUGGAAAAACUGGAACCCCAGCCCAAGGUCGUGGUGGCAUUGGAGUUGGGCCCCGGUAAACCGGAACCUUCCAAACCCCGGUGGUAUCCAA